CUGGGAUUACAGGUGUGAGCCACCAUGCCUGCCUGUCCCAUUUCCCCAUUUUAAAAAAGUCACCUGCCCGAUUGGUUUUCAAAGCUGCCUUCACUCAAAGAGGGCCUGGAGGGUAGGAAUGACUCAUACAGUCAUUCAUUGUCUGUGCCCGCUUUUCAUAGCACAAAAGAUAGGUCCUUCCCAUCCCGCCCAUCCUCUCCCUGCUGGUCAUCUUGUAUGCGGAGAAUCCAAGGAUCUUCUUACCAAUGAGUUCUUGCCGCUCAUGAGCAGGUGAAGGAGUGGAGCUGAAGUGGAAAUAAUCUAUGGGCUGGACUGUCUAGACAGCAUUUGCUCCUCUGGAUAGGGAGGAGAGCAGACAGAAGCGGGCUUUGGCCAAACUGAAACUCAAGCCAUCACUGCCAGCCCUUCCUGAGCCAUCUCAGAUGAGCCUUGUCUCUGGGCCACAGCCAGAAUUGGCCUGGGCUGUUUCUCACUCCUAUUUCAAAGGAUUUGUGCUCCUAGCAGAGGAAAAGCUUGAACAUUUACAGUGAAAAAUUUAGUAGAAGGGGGAAGAAACAGAGGGUCUUUCUUUCUUUCUUUCUUUCUUUUUUCUUUCUUCUUUUCCUUCUUUUGUCUUAUCUUUUGGUUUUGGGGCAGUGAAAGAAAAUUAAUUUUUUAGCUAUAAAACUUUGUCUUAAGAUCAGUUUUGGAAAGAAAAGCAUCUACUAAUUGAAAACGUCACUUUUCGGGCCCUUAAGUCAAGGGAAACAGGUGCAAGUUUGUGGUUUUAGACACAGCAUUUCUUUUGGAAAAAAGUAGUAAAAGUACCCCAGAUAAGUUCUCUCCAAAGCUGGAUAGAUUUUUAUUUUUCAGCCCUUUAUUACAUAGAAGGUGACAGAUUAGCUGAAAAGUUAAAAGAAAAAUCAACUCUCACCCUUGUAGGUAACACUCCAAUCUCUCUCUCUCUUUUUUCUUUCCAAGGCUGAAGAGAGGGCAACUGUUUACUGCAAUUUUGAUAAAAUUCCCUUUCAAUACGGCCUGUUCCUGGAUAGAGUCCCACCUUUCAUCUGCUUUUAUUCCUAAUCCUGUGGCAAAGCCUGGACCUCCCUUUUCUUCUCAUACAAGCUCGACAGAGCUGGCAUUUUCCUUCUCCAUUUCAGUGACAUGUUUUUCAGUGUUUUGUCUGUUUGUGAAGGGGCAGAAAUGUCAAGGUCAAAAAAGUCUUGGAAAAAAUGAGUAGUAUUUCUGUACCUGCUGAGGGUUAGGUGCUUGGAUGUUAUAUAUCUCUGCAUUCCCACAGUAAAACCAUGUGUGGUUGGGGAGCUUUUCCUUUUUUAACCUCUCUGGGUGGUUGAGGAAUUGGAGGCUCAGAGAGGAGAAGUGACACAGCCCAAGGUGACGCCACCAGGAGCUGAACUUGAAAGCCAAGCCAAGUCCGUCUGACCAUCAAGCGUUGCUCCUAUAAUCAUACUACCUUGCCUUCUGCCUUUGUAAACAUGAGGUGACACAUCAAGCUAGGGCUAUUAAAAUACCCAGAAGCACUUUUCUUCCAAAUAACUCACAAUAUCUUGUCUUUGGGAAGUAUUCAAUAGGUUUAUUUCAGUAAAAGAUACACCAUUGCCAUGGUUUUAGGGAGUGAUUCUGAAUUUUAUGUUACUGAUUAAGAAAGAUGGUUAAUGGAACCUGUUUCCUUAAGAAAUUUACAUCAUAUAUUAGUAAGCUGUUGCUGUGUAGCAAAUCACACCAACACUUAGUGCCUUGAAGUAACAACAUGUAUUAUCUCACAAUUUCUGUAGGUGUGAAAACUGGACAUCAUUUAGCUGGGUCCUGUGCUUCAGGGUAUCUCACAGGCAGCACACAAGGCUUCAUCUGGGCUAUACUCAUCAGAAGGCUGGAUUGGGGAAGAUCUGCUUCCAAGUUUACUUACAUGGUUGUUGGUGGGAUUCAGUUCCUGGUAGGCUGCCAGCUUUAGCUCCUCAUUUCCUGAUGGCUGGAGGGUUCCCUCAGUUCCUUUCCAUGUGGGCCUCUCCAGCAUGGCUGCUUGCUUCAUCAAAGUGUACAAGAAGGGAGACAGCAAUAGGAACAUGUCAGCAAGAUGGAAUCCACAGUCUUUUUAAAGCUAACCAUGGAAGUGAUAUUCCAUCACUUUUGGUGUAUUCUGUUUGUUAGGAACAAGACACUAGGUCCAGCCCACCACUCAAGGUAUGGGAUUACACACGGCAUGAAUACUAUGGGGUGGGGAUCACUGGAAAUUAUGUCAGCAGCUAUCUGUCACACAUGAGAGAAGUGGAGAUGGUAGUCAUAAUAAUAGUCAUCAUCAUCAUAAUAAUAAGGCUGGUGAGGAUAGCCAGCAUUUAUUGGGUGUUCUUGAUGCAUCAGGCACUGGGCUAAAUCCCUUCUAUGCAUUGUCUCCUUUAAUCUCCUCAUCACUCUCAUUAACUUCCCUGAGUUACUACAGCAAAGAGAUUAGGACCAGACUCUGUUGUUUCCACUCCGAAGUCCAUCCCUUUACAUGAUGCAGAUCAUUGAUAAGAAUCCACUGAGCUGCUGAGGCUCCAGGAAAGACCUGAUUGAGAGAGGAGUCUGAUAAACGAAGCUGAACUCACUGCUCCUCAGAAAACUGCAAAUGAACACAACCAGAAGCCAUUUCUUACCCAUCAGAUUGGAAAAGAAAAUAGCAUUGAAAUCAUAUAGCAGCAUCAUCCAGACCUGCAGAAUCAUACGUGAUCAUAGCCAGUUCACACUGAAAAAAGCCUUGUAGGAGAUUCGCCAACCUAAUCAUUCAGCUUACAGGCCUUUGGGAAGCCUGUCCCCACAUCUUCUCUGAGACCUGGAAUCUGGACCUUAUGUUGAGGCUGGGCACCCACAUCUGGGAUGUGAUUCCUUUCUGCCCUCACCCCAUCAUUCUCUCUCUCCAGUUUCCCUGCGAUUUCCUCUUGGCCAUAGCCUGGUGUAAGUUCCAGCAUUUUUGUAUCGCUGUUCUAGCAGAUUUUCAUUUUAGUGCCAAUCCAAGCGCUCUAUCCCUUCCUUGAACUCUUAGUUAGGCCAAUAAAUAUUUAUGUAGCUCAUUGGCAAUUAAUUAGGUGCCUUUGGCACUGCAUCCAAUGGCUUGUAAAUCGACAUAGAGAUUUCACUUCCCCCAUCUUUGCUUCUUGGCUUUCCAGCAGAAAGACAAGCUAAGAGCGGACAGGGAACGUGAUUUCUACUUCUCUGUAUAUGCGUACCCUACACGUAGUAGCAUGCAAUGAAUAUUUAUGGCCUUAUAAAUUUAAUCGGCAUAUGAUUACUUAACAAUAAAGUGAGAACUUUUCCAGAGAGAAAAGACAUCAUCUUGGCUGGGCUCGAUGGAGGGUAGGCUAUGAGGAGCAUUGAUUACACUGAUUUAAAGUGAGGGCUCUGAGGCCAGACAGGUUAGAAUCCUGGCUCCCCACUUACUGAGCAUGUGAUGGUAACCGUGAUGCAAUCUCUCUGUGCCUCAGUUUCUACCUCAUAAUCUAGAAAAAGCAACAGCACUUGACCAAACCCUAAAAUAGCGAUGAGGGACGCAUCCUCUAAACGUCAGCUAUCACGAUUUUAUUAUUUCUUCCAAAUAAGCCUUAUGUUCUUAAGAAAUACACAUGCAGACACACAGGUAGUCUUUACCACAUCCAGUUUUUGUCUAGAGUAUCAGAUUCUUAUCUUUAAAACAUGAAUAACCUGAAUGGUUGUGGCUUUUUUCUCCUCAUUAUACACCUUAAAGGAAGAAAAAAGGAGCUGAUCAAAACCAAUAAAAAAAUACAAACAAAAGAAAAAUCUGGAAUAAACCAAUGUAAGCAAAAUAGGAGAACCUGAGGGAGUAUGAGGAAGGUUGCCCAAUAUGCCCAUGAAGUAAAAGAGAGAUGGGGGAGAUGGCCACCAAUUAAAAUUAAUUAAACAUUUUUAAUGAUCUCUGAUGCUGACCUCAUGCUCCAGGUGCCUGAAACAAAGAAAAGAAAUGCAGAUAAUUGGAUCUUCAUGACAUUUUCCCAACUGGCCACUUUCCCUGUAACAAGACCAAGCCUGUCUCUUCCAUUGUACUCUCGUGAGCUACCUGGGUCAGAACCUGAAAUCUUGGCGCAGAAGUCCUGUGGCCUGGUGAGUAGCUGUCUAGACCCAACUCCCUGGCUGGGUGGAUUAAACUUACUGCACCCUGAGUCUCUGGGUUUCUUGCCAGCUCCAGCCUAGCAGUGUAUGCCAAACCUCUGUUUCUCACCUGGAAAACUGCAGUGCUUGCUAAGUGGUCUUGUUUGUUAUCCUCUGAAAUCACCUUGUCUUGACUUUUCUACUUGUUUUUUAUCUGUUUCCCCCAUUAGCCUAUAAACUUCUCAUUCCCGGCAGCUGGCACAUGCAUGGCCCAAUAAAUAUUUCUUGAUUGAAUGGAAGGAGCUGUGAAUAGUGGCCUCCUCAAGCAAAGGACAUUUUAUCUCCCAAAGGGAAAUCUACUUUGUUGAUAUGAAAGUGAGCUUCUUAAUAGGUCUACGGGGCAACAUUUUGCUAACCCCAUUCAAAUUAUAACAGACUUCAAAGUCAUAAAGGCAGUAAUAUGCUUCCUUUUAAGUGUGUAAUUUGUAUUUUUUUACACCCAGGAAUGGAAAACAGGGAGUGAAAUAUCCCCCAAUUAUUAUUUUGUGCUUUUGAGGCAGGAUGGCCCACUCACCUGUGGGGACUCUGGUGGCCAAGCACCUCCCACCUCAUUCUUGGCAAUUGUUUUCAUCUGCCUCCCUUCACACUGGCCCUAGCUCAGGUCUGGAAUCUUCCCAGGGUCUGACCUCUGAGUGUCUGUCUCAUGCAAUUCUGCUGCCCUGGUAUUGACUCUCAGGACACAGAAGUAUACUCUCUGCCACAUUCAUGACCACCCUGGGUGACGUGUCAAGGCAUCUUAGUGCAGCCCUGAGUCCCUUGGAGGGAAAUGGCCCCAGUCUGCUUCCUGUUUGAGGUAGCUCUGUUCUGGAUCACUUGGUCCUCCCCUCUCCCUCCUGCCACUGCUGAUUGCAUUGUGGUGAUCACCCCAAGGUCAUCCCAAAGGCAGGCUGCCGUGUAGAGCCUGGCUUGGCACAGGAGGCCCCAGCCAAUGAUCUCUGAUGCUGACCUCAUGCUCCAGGUGCCUGAAACAAAGAAAAGAAAUGCAGAUAAUUGGAUCUUCAUGACAAUUUCCCAACUGGCCACUUUCCCUGUAACAAGACCAAGCCUGUCUCUUCCAUAUGGGUCAGCCAUAUCCCACCCACUCCUCCUGGGAUUUGACUUGGGGAAUGUGGACAGAAUCACACAGUCAGUAGAAGUUGGAAAGUAGGCGGAAGUGGCCACAUGGGGUAGGGACAUAUCAGAGUUAUGAUGAAUCAGAAGCAGAAGCCCCAAGUUGAAGAAGAGAUACAAAGCUUGGAAGCAGGAAGAGAUGGAGCGGACACACAAAGGAAUCCAACACUGGAGAACGGCAACGUAAAGGUGGCGUGCUAGGGGAAAGCUCCAGAAUUCCUGCAGCUGGGCGCUGGAGCCACCCUGAACUUUCAAAGACCUCCCUAUUCCAGUCUCCACAAUCCCAGGUCCUGGUAUGUCCCUGGAUUUGGGGGGAGAUUCUGGCUCCUUUGUAGCACCACAAUAAACCCUUAUUGCCUGAGUUA